rnacentral:rRNA from 1 species
CUUUUGGAUGGUCCACGCGGCGUAUUAGCCUAGAUGGUGGGGUAACGGCUCACCAUGGCAAUGAUACGUAGCCGACCUGAGAGGGUAAUCGGCCACAUUGGGACUGAAGACACGGCCCAAACUCCUACGGGAGGCAGCAGUAGGGAAUCUUCCACAAUGGACGAAAGUCUGAUGGAGCAACGCCGCGUGAGUGAAGAAGGGUUUCGGCUCGUAAAACUCUGUUGUUAAAGAAGAACAUAUCUGAGAGUAACUGUUCAGGUAUUGACGGUAUUUAACCAGAAAGCCACGGCUAACUACGUGCCAGCAGCCGCGGUAAUACGUAGGUGGCAAGCGUUGUCCGGAUUUAUUGGGCGUAAAGCGAGCGCAGGCGGUUUUUUAAGUCUGAUGUGAAAGCCUUCGGCUCAACCGAAGAAGUGCAUCGGAAACUGGGAAACUUGAGUGCAGAAGAGGACAGUGGAACUCCAUGUGUAGCGGUGAAAUGCGUAGAUAUAUGGAAGAACACCAGUGGCGAAGGCGGCUGUGUGGUCUGUAACUGACGCUGAGGCUCGAAAGUACCGGUUUAGCGAACAGGAUUAGAUACC